GAUGAACGCUAGCUACAGGCUUAACACAUGCAAGUCGAGGGGCAGCAUGGUCUUAGCUUGCUAAGGCCGAUGGCGACCGGCGCACGGGUGAGUAACACGUAUCCAACCUGCCGUCUACUCUUGGACAGCCUUCCGAAAGGAAGAUUAAUACAAGAUGGCAUCAUGAGUCCACAUGUUCACAUGAUUAAAGGUAUUCCGGUAGACGAUGGGGAUGCGUUCCAUUAGAUAGUAGGCGGGGUAAUGGCCCACCUAGUCUUCGAUGGAUAGGGGUUCUGAGAGGAAGGUCCCCCACAUUGGAACUGAGACACGGUCCAAACUCCUACGGGAGGCAGCAGUGAGGAAUAUUGGUCAAUGGGCGAGAGCCUGAACCAGCCAAGUAGCGUGAAGGAUGACUGCCCUAUGGGUUGUAAACUUCUUUUAUAAAGGAAUAAAGUCGGGUAUGCAUACCCGUUUGCAUGUACUUUAUGAAUAAGGAUCGGCUAACUCCGUGCCAGCAGCCGCGGUAAUACGGAGGAUCCGAGCGUUAUCCGGAUUUAUUGGGUUUAAAGGGAGCGUAGAUGGAUGUUUAAGUCAGUUGUGAAAGUUUGCGGCUCAACCGUAAAAUUGCAGUUGAUACUGGAUAUCUUGAGUGCAGUUGAGGCAGGCGGAAUUCGUGGUGUAGCGGUGAAAUGCUUAGAUAUCACGAAGAACUCCGAUUGCGAAGGCAGCCUGCUAAGCUGCAACUGACAUUGAGGCUCGAAAGUGUGGGUAUCAAACAGGAUUAGAUACCCUGGUAGUCCACACGGUAAACGAUGAAUACUCGCUGUUUGCGAUAUACAGCAAGCGGCCAAGCGAAAGCGUUAAGUAUUCCACCUGGGGAGUACGCCGGCAACGGUGAAACUCAAAGGAAUUGACGGGGGCCCGCACAAGCGGAGGAACAUGUGGUUUAAUUCGAUGAUACGCGAGGAACCUUACCCGGGCUUAAAUUGCAGAUGAAUUACGGUGAAAGCCGUAAGCCGCAAGGCAUCUGUGAAGGUGCUGCAUGGUUGUCGUCAGCUCGUGCCGUGAGGUGUCGGCUUAAGUGCCAUAACGAGCGCAACCCUUGUUGUCAGUUACUAACAGGUUCCGCUGAGGACUCUGACAAGACUGCCAUCGUAAGAUGUGAGGAAGGUGGGGAUGACGUCAAAUCAGCACGGCCCUUACGUCCGGGGCUACACACGUGUUACAAUGGGGGGUACAGAGGGCCGCUACCACGCGAGUGGAUGCCAAUCCCAAAAACCUCUCUCAGUUCGGACUGGAGUCUGCAACCCGACUCCACGAAGCUGGAUUCGCUAGUAAUCGCGCAUCAGCCACGGCGCGGUGAAUACGUUCCCGGGCCU
rnacentral:rRNA from 1 species